rnacentral:rRNA from 1 species
UACGGAGGGUGCGAGCGUUGUCCGGAAUCACUGGGCGUAAAGGGCGCGUAGGUGGUCUGCUAAGCGUGCGGUGAAAGCCUGGGGCUCAACCCCAGGUCUGCCGUGCGAACUGGUGGACUUGAGCACUGUAGAGGCAGGUGGAAUUCCGGGUGUAGCGGUGGAAUGCGUAGAGAUCCGGAAGAACACCGGUGGCGAAGGCGGCCUGCUGGGCAGUAGCUGACACUGAGGCGCGACAGCGUGGGGAGUAAACAGG